ACGCUGGCGGCAGGCCUAACACAUGCAAGUCGAGCGGUAGCACGGGAGAGCUUGCUCUCUGGGUGACGAGCGGCGGACGGGUGAGUAAUGUCUGGGAAACUGCCUGAUGGAGGGGGAUAACUACUGGAAACGGUAGCUAAUACCGCAUGACCUCGCAAGAGCAAAGUGGGGGACCUUCGGGCCUCACGCCAUCGGAUGUGCCCAGAUGGGAUUAGCUAGUAGGUGGGGUAAUGGCUCACCUAGGCGACGAUCCCUAGCUGGUCUGAGAGGAUGACCAGCCACACUGGAACUGAGACACGGUCCAGACUCCUACGGGAGGCAGCAGUGGGGAAUAUUGCACAAUGGGCGCAAGCCUGAUGCAGCCAUGCCGCGUGUGCGAAGAAGGCCUUAGGGUUGUAAAGCACUUUCAGCGAGGAGGAAGGCGUUGUAGUUAAUAGCUGCAGCGAUUGACGUUACUCGCAGAAGAAGCACCGGCUAACUCCGUGCCAGCAGCCGCGGUAAUACGGAGGGUGCAAGCGUUAAUCGGAAUUACUGGGCGUAAAGCGCACGCAGGCGGUUUGUUAAGUCAGAUGUGAAAUCCCCGAGCUUAACUUGGGAACUGCAUUUGAAACUGGCAAGCUAGAGUCUUGUAGAGGGGGGUAGAAUUCCAGGUGUAGCGGUGAAAUGCGUAGAGAUCUGGAGGAAUACCGGUGGCGAAGGCGGCCCCCUGGACAAAGACUGACGCUCAGGUGCGAAAGCGUGGGGAGCAAAC
rnacentral:rRNA from 1 species